UUUUUUUUUUUUUUUUCUGGCCCAACCUGUGGCACAUGGGAGUUCCCAGGCCAGGGAUCAAACCCAAGGCACAGGCGCAACCUCUGCCACAGCUGCGUGGCAACACCAGCUCCUUAACCCACUGAGCGGGACCGGGGAUUGAACAUGUGCCACCAGAGAAACAACGCUGGAUCCUUAACCUACCGAGCCACAGAGGGAACUCCCUCAUAUUUCUUAUUUUUAAUUUCUAUUUCUUCGGUGUGUUUUAUAACAUUCAUAUAUACUAGAGUAGAAGUAUAAAUAUAAUUUAUAAAUACAUAAAUACCAGAAGUGAACACUCAAAAUUGUUUAUGGAUAGGAGGCAGGAUCAAAAAUUUGGCUGCUGUACGUCUACAUUCCUCCCUAACUACCGCUGCCUGGGUUGCUGUCAAUAGUUUCUCCACGUAAACUGUACCUCCCACACUGGAUGCUGGGGGAGAGGGGGUUGGGGAGCUGGUGGGGGCACCUGUGCCAUUGAGUUCAAACCACUUCAUGCGUAGUGGGGUCUCUGGGGCCUGGAGGGUUCUGAGGGGCCCAGGCUCCUUGGAGGAGCGGGUAUGGGAAGCUCUGUAAAGUCUAAAGUCCUGGAAAUAACACAGGGUCUGCCUUCAGAGGGACCUUCACUAGAGCCCACGUCCUAGCACAGGCUGGCUGUGCAAUCUGGAGUGCCCACUCUGAACAGCAAGUUUGUCUUCUGUCCAAUGAAGAGCUCAAGAGUGAUACAUAAGGAGUUCCCGUCGUGGCGCAGUGGUUAACGAAUCCGACUAGGAACCACGAGGUUGCGGGUUCGGUCCCUGCCCUUGCUCAGUGGGUUAACAAUCUGGCGUUGCCGUGAGCUGUGGUGUAGGUUGCAGACGCCCAAGAAAUAGCAACAACAACAACAACAACAAAAAAGACAAAAGACAAAAUAAAUAAAUAAAUAAAUAAAUAAUUUAAAAAAUAAAUAAAUAAAUAAAAACUGCAUUAAAAAAAAAAAAAAGAGUGAUACAUAAGUCGUGGCCUCUUUGCAAGGCUCCCAAGAAGUAAGAGGAAAGGGGGCUUGGGGAAUCCUAGAGCACCUUCCUUUCCAGAACACAGAGCGUCCCUGGCAUGGGGUGGCCCCAGAGGCUCCCAGGUACAAAGUCUGUGAGGAGGGGGUGCAACAGGGCCAGCGAGGGGAACCUGACAAAGCCAGGUCUCUGCCCAAACAGGCCAGAAGUCAUGCACAGCCCAGGUGAGCUGGGGCACCGGCACCCAGCCGCCCACACCAACCAUCAGCCACCCCCGCCAUCUCCAGGUUCCUGUAGCUGCUGAGAAAGUUCAAGGGUAAGUUGGCUUUCACUCUUUGACUCUUCUUAUUCAUCUCAGCCAGACCUUUGGGGGUAGGGGGAGAGGUGAGGAAGACAGCUGACAUGCAGUCAUUCUGAGCACCCCUGGGGUCCUCCUGCUCACAGCCUCCCUUUCCCCCAAGCCUCCACCGGCCCUCCUGACUCUUGUUUCCUAAGAAACAAGCACAGGCUGAUUCAUGCAGGUUGCAGAAAACAGGAUAAACCCAGGCUGCUUUGUAGGGUUACAAGUUCAGAGGCUUUGGGGUUUUCUGGAUCUAAUCUUGAAGCAUCGAGACACAUCUGAAUACUUGGAUGAUUCCCAGCUCUCUCUUCCUCUUGUCACCCUGGUCACCCUGAUGUGCACUGAACCCCAGACCAGAGGCUCCCAGCCCUUCAUGCACCAUUUGAAGGAAAUGGAUCCACUGACCUCCCCUAGUCCGUUCCCAUCCCAUCCGAUUCCUCUGAGUCCCUGCAAAAGAACUUCUCUGGGAGGAGAACCAGGCUGUGGCUCGUUCCAUUCUUGCAUUUCUGACUUUUGCCAUUUGGGGAAGCCAGAGAGCAGGUUCUGCUAUGCACUUUUGCGGGGAGGCACGAGGAGGGUAGAAGCAGGCUCUGUGCCACGUCCAGGGCCAUGAAGGCAUCAGUGGAGAUCAAGGCCCGGCCUUCCACUCUAGCUUGGGGCACCAAAGCAGAGAAAGCAUCCUUUCUGAUUUUGAACAGACAAGGUCUUGCCUUUUACCAUUCUCUGCUGAGACCC
ensembl:lncRNA